rnacentral:rRNA from 2 species
AUCCUGAAACCGUGUGCCUACAACAAGUCAAAGCUCGUUAAUGAGUGAUGGCGUGCCUUUUGUAGAAUGAACCGGCGAGUUACGAUUGCAUGCGAGGUUAAGUCGAAGAGACGGAGCCGCAGCGAAAGCGAGUCUGAAUAGGGCGAAUGAGUAUGUAGUCGUAGACCCGAAACCAUGUGAUCUACCCAUGUCCAGGUUGAAGGUGCGGUAAAACGCACUGGAGGACCGAACCCACGUACGUUGAAAAGUGCGGGGAUGAGGUGUGGGUAGCGGAGAAAUUCCAAACGAACUUGGAGAUAGCUGGUUCUCUCCGAAAUAGCUUUAGGGCUAGCCUCGGAAUUGAGAAUGAUGGAGGUAGAGCACUGUUUGGACUAGGGGCC